UCCAGAGGUAAAACAAACUUCCGGUGAAAAAACAUGAAAGGUCAUUUGUUAGGAGGAAUUCAGCGUGUCAAAUGCAGUACUGAAUGAGAAAAAAGAAAAUGGAGAAUGAAGCAGCUGAAAUGGGAGGAGGACAUGUGGUAGGAAGAGGAGGAGGAGUGAUUCAUGCCAGGAUGGACUCGAGCCAAUGAACGUUAGCUGGGAGAAUCUUUUUAGGUCUCUUCCUAAAACACCAUGCCAUGAUCGGCCAUGUUCCUGGUCCUGUCUCCACUAGUGCAUGAGCAAGACAGCCCACUACAGUCUGCACUAUGUCAUUUGUCCUCUGGAGGAACAGCAACACAAGACUUCAUUAAAUGUGUCAUAUGAGACUUCCAUCUCCAUGACCCUGUGGUACAAUGUAUAGAAACUUGUAUGACCUUUGAAAUAAAAAUUAAUUAUUAGCUGAAAACAAAGCAUUAUCAAAA